rnacentral:lncRNA from 1 species
UCAUUAUGUAGCAAUUACUUUAUUGAUUUAUGGAAGUUUUUAAGCUCCAUCAGGAAUAUGCACAUUCAAGGGGAAAAAAAGACCAUUUCUGUGCUCUUGAAUCCAGCCACCAAGCCAUGUGCAUAGUCUGUAUGUAUGUGCCCCAGUCAACAACUUCAUCUAAUCUCUCAGAUGAAAGCCAGUAUCAACUGCAAUCCACUUGAAUGAACCAGCUCAGAAAUUCCAGUCCAAUCUUAACUCCCACAUAACAUCAACAUCUAAUGUCAUGUGGAACACAAGAACUGCCCAGUUGAGUCUAGUUAACGUACAGAAUUGUGAGACAUAAUAAAAUCGUUGUUUAAGCCACUAAGGUUUGAAAAAUGGUUAAUGAAAAUGAAAAUGAUUGCAAGAAUAAACAAUCAAAA